GACGCGGGAUAGAAGAUGAUUAUCCAAGCAGCGGCCACAACUGUGUUUCUGCUAUGUGCAUUAUCUCUGACAAACUCAUUCCAAAACUACCAGUCUUUCCCCAUUGGUCCCUAUCAGCAGCAAGUGUACGGCUACUGGAAUCCCUACUAUCCCCAAAGUUGGUCUACGCCUGGCUAUGGCAACUAUCCUGUGUCUCCUUCCCACACUAUCCAACUGGAAGCGACCACAAGGCCAGACCCUGACCAGAGCUGUUGCAAAAGGAUGCGCUGUAAUAUAGGAAGCUACUGUGUCUGCAAGACGAUUUACUGCAUUCGUGCUCCAUGCCCGCCACGCGCUUUCUGU
rnacentral:lncRNA from 1 species